CUGAAGCCCGGUGGGGCGGCGAGUAACAUAAACAUUAGCUGAUGCUAAGAAUGACACCUGAGCAUAGUAGAUGUGUUAACACUGUUCACCAAGUAAACGGGUGUUUAAACAAUAGUUUACAGUGUUCACCAAGUAAACGAGUGUUUAAACAAUAGUUUACAGUGUUCACCAAGUAAACGAGUGUUUAAACAAUAGUUUACAGUGUUCACCAAGUAAAGGGGUGUUUAAACAAUAGUUUACACUGUUCACCAAGUAAAGGGGUGUUUAAACAAUAGUUUACACUGUUCACCAAGUAAAGGGGUGUUUAAACAAUAGUUUACACUGUUCACCAAGUAAAUUGGUGUUUAAACAAAUUAAAGGGGUGUUUAAAUAACAGUUUACGAGCGUUUACCCUCCUACAUCCCUGGGUCGUCGUAUUCAUUAAAGCAGCAAAUGAAGAAAACUAACAGAAACGAGGAGAGGGACUAUCUGGCCUUGUCCUGUCAGAAAUGCUCAUAUCCGGUUUUCCAUUGCAAAACAUUUUCCAACAUUGUCCAUUGCGUGUCUUAAUGAACAGGACCCUGAUGCUGUAUGCCAACACAGGGACAGUGGCUAGUUGUCUGGUCUGCUCCUUUACACUGUACAAAAGUGAUUAGUGAUAUUGAUAAUCAAUAAUGUGUCAAUGUUCCAGGCUGGUUGGUAAAUGAUGAUACUGGUAAUACUCCAAACAGGAGGAUGUGUAUUUAGCGUUUUCAAAAGUUUAUAUGGAAAUAUCAUUGUCUGUCAUUGUCACUCUAACCACGAUCGAUGUUUCUAUAUCAUGUCAGUCUGUGGUAUUAACUACGAUCGAUGUUUCUAUAUCACAUCAGUCUGUGGUAUUAACUACGAUCAAUGUUUCUAUAUCACAUCAGUCUGUGGUAUUAACUACGAUC
rnacentral:lncRNA from 13 species